GAAAGGCUAAUCAAACUGAGAAAUAGCUCGUACUCCCCGAAAUGUUUUUAGGAACAGUGUGGAGGUUGAGUUUAAUAGAGGUAGAGCUACCAAUUGGACUAGGGGGAGUCACAUCCUACCAAAUCCAGAUGAACUCCGAAUGCUAUUAAAUAUACUCUGCAAUGAGGGCACGGGUGCUAAGGUCCGUGUCCGAGAGGGAAAGAACCCAGACCUACAGCUAAGGUCCCAAAAUCUAUACUAAGUUGAACUAAGGCGGUUCAGUUGCUGAGACAGCCAGGAGGUUAGCUUGGAAGCAGCUAUCCCUUUAAAGAGUGCGUAACAGCUCACUGGUCGAGCGACAGAGCAUCGAUAAUAAUCGGGCAUCAAGUAUAGUACCGAAGCUUAGGAUUUUAGUAGAAAUACUAGAGUGGUAGGGGAGCAUUCUAACAGCGGAGAAGUCGUGUGGUAAUGCACGGUGGAGCGGUUAGAAAAGCAAAUGUAGGC
rnacentral:rRNA from 1 species